AGAGGAUGACAGAGAACAGUGGACACACAGUUUAACAUGAUGGACUAUAGGACAGGACUGCUGCUGUUAACUAUCUGCUGGGCAGGUGUUGAUGGUCAGACUCUGACAGAAUCUGAACCAGUGGUUAAAAGGCCUGGAGAAUCUCACAGAUUGACCUGUACAGCCUCUGGAUUCACAUUCAGCAGCUAUCAUAUGGCCUGGAUCAGACAGGCUCCUGGAAAAGGACUGGAGUGGAUUGCCUGGGUGGAAAAUGAUAAUGACAGGAAACGCUACUCUCAGUCAGUUCAAGGCCGGUUUACCAUCUCCAAAGACAACAGCAGACAGCAGGUGUAUCUGCAGAUGAACAGUCUGAAGACUGAAGAUUCUGCUGUUUAUUAUUGUGCUCGAGAGCCACAGUGACUGGAGUUGGUUGAGCAGCUGUACAAAAUCCUACAGUACUCAUCUUUCAGGCUGGUAGAGUCUGUGCAUUAAGUAUUCAUAG